rnacentral:other from 1 species
GAUCCCCUGCGAUGCGCGUGAUUAACAUUCGUUUUUUGAGCCAACACCUUAGAACCGGGAACCUUACCGUUUUUGCUGUGUGCACGGCUGCGUAAAUCCUUUGUUGGGUGGCAGAAAGCCUGAAGCCAAGACUUUAGGUACCCACUUGGUCCCAAGGUUCAAAAAAGGUGGUUAACACGGCAUUGGCGGGGGUUAA